rnacentral:lncRNA from 1 species
CUGACUCACUCGUGGGUAAUAAGCCUACCAAAAAACCCACUUCCCGGCACUGUAUAUCCUGAUAUUUUAUGGGACAUUUGCAACAUUCUGCCAGUGAUCUAAUAGAUGGAAGGAGGUAUCUCCUUUUACCCUUUUCACGCUUCUGCUUUCCCUUUCCCCAAUAACCCUCUUACACUAACUCUGUUGAGUGUGGCAUGUUUGCUUAGUGGCAGGGCCCACCAAAAGGUAAUCACUUCCGGCUGAUACCCUACCCACCCUGCUCCACCCUCAACAGAUCUGCUUUCUUCCAUCUGCGACAAAUUUGCUUCCUCGUUCACUGGCAGCUUUGCCUUCCAUUCACUGUGGGCAAUUGGGUCUCUAGAGGUGCUAUCCGCCUCUGGCCAUUGCCCUGGAUGUCAAGCUUCAUUUCUCUAGCACAGUCCUCUGCUCACCUUCAGGCUCUUCUGCAAGUCUUGGUACCAGUCAACUGUGUCUCUCUUGGGCUCAGAGCCCUUGCCCCUGUUCUUUGCAUGACAACCCACAGGACAACCUGUGCCUUCUUGAAAUCGACCCUCUCUGAAUUCCUGGGACACUAGGAAUUGCAGACCCUUGGGUCUUACUUCUCUGCCUCACUCAUGGGAGCUUUGUCAUUGUCUAUACCUCCUUACUUCCACUGGGAUGUUUUUUGGAGACCCACUGACCACUGCUAAUCAGCUAUUGUUGCAGGACUACCAACUGUUAGUUACGGAGCUGGAGGGCAAGACUAGCAAACACGUCCAGGUAAGAACCAACACCACCCUAGAGAUACUAACUCUGCAAUGACUGGCCUCAGUAACCAACCACCUAUGUUUCCUGGUAAAUUGGAUAGAAAGAGUGUGUCCAGGUGAUGGAAAAGAAUCAGGUGCUUUAAGUCCUUGGGAGUCAACUUGGAUCUACCUUGAACAGCAUUUUGCCAGGUCCAAGUGGCGCCACAGAGCCUGGACAGUGAAAUGAAACAGCCAGCUACUCCACGAUACAGCCAGCACCUCAGGUCUCCGAGUAUCCGAGAUUGAAACAACAGUUGAGAAGGGACCGGUUUCCA